rnacentral:rRNA from 1 species
GGGCUUCGAGCUUCGGCUCUUCACCUUUGUGACAUACCCAACUGUUGCUUCGGCGGGUCGGGGCGCCCUCCCGGGGGCGCCCCCCAGGCCCGGCCCCUCCCGGGGCCGAGCGCCCGCCGGAGGAUCACCCAACUCUAUUUUAACGACGUUUCUUCUGAGUGGCACAAGCAAAUAAUUAAAACUUUUAACAACGGAUCUCUUGGUUCUGGCAUCGAUGAAGAACGCAGCGAAAUGCGAUAAGUAAUGUGAAUUGCAGAAUUCAAUGAAUCAUCAAAUCUUUGAACGCACAUUGCGCCCGCCAGCAUUCUGGCGGGCAUGCCUGUUCGAGCGUCAUUUCAACCCUCAAGCCCGGCUUGGUGUUGGGGCACUACGGUCGACGUAGGCCCUUAAAGGUAGUGGCGGACCCUCCCGGAGCCUCCUUUGCGUAGUAACUAACGUCUCGCAUCGGGAUCCGGAGGGACUCCUGCCGUAAAACCCCCACACUUUUUCUGGUUGACCUCGGAUCAGGUAGGAAUACCCGCUGAACUUAAGCAUAUCAAUAAACCGGAGGACCAAACCCUCCUGGCGCCAACAAAGGCCCUCCACCGCGAACCCCAGGUCAGGCGGAAUACCCCCUUAAUUUAAACAUAUUAAUUAACCCGAAGAAA